rnacentral:tRNA from 4 species
GCCCACAUAGCUCAGUAGGUAGAGCACUUCCUUGGUAAGGAAGAGGUCACCGGUUCAAAUCCGGUUGUGGGCUCCA